rnacentral:rRNA from 1 species
UUAGAUACCCUUGUAGUCCACGCUGUAAACGAUGAUGACUAACCGUCGGCGAUACACAGUCGGUGGCCAAGCGAAAGCGAUAAGUCAUCCACCUGGGGAGUACGGCCGCAAGGCUGAAACUCAAAGGAAUUGACGGGGGCCCGCACAAGCGGAGGAACAUGUGGUUUAAUUCGAUGAUACGCGAGGAACCUUACCCGGGCUCGAACGGCAGCUGAAUAUGCCAGAGAUGGCAUAGUCUUCGGACAGUUGUCGAGGUGCUGCAUGGUUGUCGUCAGCUCGUGCUGUGAAGUGUCGGCUUAAGUGCCAUAACGAGCGCAACCCUUGCCUUCAGUUGCCAUCAGGUAAAGCUGGGGACUCUGGAGGGACUGCCACCGCAAGGUGCGAGGAAGGGGGGGAUGACGUCAAAUCAGCACGGCCCUUACGUCCGGGGCGACACACGUGUUACAAUGGCAGGUACAGAGGGGUGCUACCGGGUGACCGGAUGCCGAUCUCGAAAACCUGUCCCAGUUCGGACUGGAGUCUGCAACCCGACUCCACGAAGUUGGAUUCGCUAGUAAUCGCGCAUCAGCCAUGGGCGCGGUGAAUACGUUCCCGGGCCUUGUACACACCGCCCGUCNAGCCAUGGGAGCCGGGGGCCCCUGAAGUCCGGGACCGCGAAGACCGGCCUAGGGCGAAACUGNUGACUGGGGCUAAUUCUGACCAAGUAAGCCCGAAUUCAACACACUGCCGGCCGGUACUAUUGGAUCCGACCUCGUACCCACCUGGGCCUAUCAUGGCCUAAACUUGUUCCUGGGGAAAUUGCAUCACCAAAA